rnacentral:miRNA from 1 species
CUCCAGAUGUUGCUGAACUUCAACUCCCAUGAUUCUCAGCCUAUCUAUGUCAUUCAUAGAAUCAUGGGAAUUGUAGUUCAGCAACAUCUGGAG